CAACUUGUUAACAACUGACUUUGACAGCAACAUUAUACACAUGGUCAUAAAUAAUAAUAAAAUAUAAUGGUUAGAGGUUUCAUGACUAUCCGUUGGUAAAGCCUAUGAAAUUCGGGAAACAUAAAAUUAUGCCUCAGGAAUUACAAUCACAGUCACAGAUACUUCAAAUUAAUUUUUGAGUUUUGAAUAAAUCAAAUAACUUCAAAUAAUUUUAAAGUUGGAAUCACAAAAUUGCAUAAAUUCUUCUUGAAUUGAGGACACAGUACAAAUAAGGGCAUAUUAAUGAAAACUGCGUUUUGAGUGAAACGCUUUUUAAAGUUUUGUUCACGAUAUACAACACAAGACUCCGCUAUGUAGAUAUCCUGUUAUUUGUGACCAAAUCCUUCUACAGCAAGAUGCUGGGUAGAUGUGAUAAUUUUCGUUUUGCACUAUAUUUAAUUUAAAAGAUUAGAUUAUAGGCCCUUUUUUCACAAUUCAAUCAUUUUGGUUGAUAUGAAGUAAAAAUCAUUACAAUCACGCUUGAUCAACGCAAAAUGAAAGAAUAUUGAUACCG